AUUUAGAAUAAAGCCAAUAUAUAAACUUCCUUUCCGUAUAGACGUAUUUACGUCAAAUUCUCCGGAACAGUGGUUCAACUGACAACUUUUUCGUAAGUUUAUAAGUCCCUCUAGACCAGGGUGUGCAACUAGAGGUUAUCAGGUCUGCUGCGAAAUUUUAUAAGCUAAGCUUACAGAAAAAUUAAUCCAAGGACAUGACGUGCAUCCCUUACCAGCACAAUUGUGCGGGUCACUUCGUUGAAGAAUAAAAAGAAGGAUAAAACAAGGAUAUGAAAGACAGUAAAGGAUCAGGAGGGCAGAAAAGAUUAUUAGAAAAAAGCAGAUGAUGUAGAAGAAAAACAAAAUAAUGAAGAAAACACAUAGAAUUAAUUCUCUAUUUACUUCCAUUAUUGUCCUAUCCAUAAAAACACCACUCCAUAAAAAAUUGAUUUCUUCCUAAUGACAUGUAGGUACCACAAGAACUUUAACCGACCUUCCGAAACAGCUGAGCACUGAGAAAUGGCGGCAGAAAUAAAUGAGGUUCACCUCGCGUUGGCCAAGAAACAGCCUGGUUAUACCUGUAACUAAAUUGAAUGCCUUCUCAAGUCCACUGUUUCAAAUCUAGCCGGUGUCUCUUGCACUUGUGAAGCGAGCUUGUCUUACAGCUAACCACGCAGAGUUCUGCCCUGACCGUGACUUCCGGAAUCAGCUGUACUAGAACCUAGUUCCGAUUAUGUAAGACCCGGAUGGACCAGUCUUCGUUUUAGUUUCUUAGUAAUAAAACGACUGAGCUCUUCAAAGUUGGAUGUGGCACAAUGUUGAUGGUUUACAUUAAAAAAAAAUCUCUCAAAUUUCGUAUGAACAUCACGUUUAGAAAGCUUAAUUAUAAAGUUAAGACUCUACGGACCUUGGCAAAAGUUAUAUACGUAGAGUCUACUAGA